GAGCAGGUCUGUUCGAGCGUCCGCCAACCAACCAAAUCGUUGCCCGUGGGCAAGGAGAUUGAGGGGCUGCGGCGCGUGAUUGCACCGCACUCCUUGAAGAUGUGCAGUUGGCGUUAGGCUGCAGUGGCACGAGGCGGUCGUCGCCGUGACAGGUUGCGCCGCCCGGCUGGACACGCCACCCCCGGCGAUCUGGACCUCGGAUCAGG
rnacentral:misc_RNA from 1 species